GUGCUCACUUCAGCAGCACAUACACUAAAAUUGGAACAAGAUAGAGAUUAGCAUGGCCCCUGUACAAGCAUGACAUGCAAAUGUGUGAAGCAUUCCAUAUAAAA
rfam:Canis lupus familiaris chromosome 10, whole genome shotgun sequence.